AUCAAACUGACUAGUUCCAAACAGGACGAAACGCGCGUCCAGAAU
rnacentral:hammerhead_ribozyme from 1 species